UACAGAGGGUGCGAGCGUUAAUCGGAUUUACUGGGCGUAAAGGGUGCGUAGGUGGUUAUAUAAGUUGGAUGUGAAAUCCCUGGGCUUAACCUAGGGGCUGCAUACAAUACUGUAUGGCUAGAGUUUUGUAGAGGAAGGUGGAAUUUCCGGUGUAGCGGUGAAAUGCGUAGAUAUCGGAAGGAACAUCAGUGGCGAAGGCGGCCUUCUGGACAAAUACUGACACUGAGGCACGAAAGCAUGGGGAGCAAACAGG
rnacentral:rRNA from 1 species